rnacentral:lncRNA from 1 species
CCCAGGUGUGCCUGUGACCUUGUUUCCGAGGGACCUAAAAAGCUUCGCUUCAUAUUGACAUCCUCCCAGUGACAGAGGAGUACAGGAAAUGAUGCAGGUGCAAGGUGCUUACAGUCCAGAGGAAAGGGUGUGAAGCAAGAAUGAGAAAGCCUGAGGGAACCAUGCAGAUAUCCUAGCCAGAGCCUUCAGACCAAGACAAUCGAACAUCCCUGGAUAUCUGAGAUAGCCAGCCUUUCUUCUGGAGAGCUUCCCAGGUAACCAGCAUCCGAAACCCCAGCUGCUGUCUCCAUGGUGAUCAGGAUACCCCCUGUGAUGAAGUCUUGCUCUGUCGCCCAGACUAGAUUGCAGUGAUGUG